rnacentral:rRNA from 1 species
CCUACGGGGGGCAGCAGUGAGGAAUUUUCGGCAAUGGGGGCAACCCUGACCGAGCAACGCCGCGUGCAGGACGAAGGUUUUCGGAUCGUAAACUGCUUUUCUCGGGGACGAGCAAGGACGGUACCCGAGGAAUAAGCCCCGGCUAACUACGUGCCAGCAGCCGCGGUAAUACGUAGGGGGCAAGCGUUGUCCGGAUUUACUGGGCGUAAAGGGCCCGCAGGCGGUCGGUCAAGUUCGGGGUGACAGCUCUCGGCUCAACUGAGGGAGUGCCACGAAAACUGGCGGACUUGAGAAUCAGAGAGGGACACGGAAUUCCGGGUGUAGUGGUGAAAUGCGUAGAUAUCCGGAGGAACACCGAAGGCGAAGGCAGUGUCCUGGCUGACAUCUGACGCUGAGGGGCGAAAGCUAGGGGAGCGAACGGGAUUAGAUACCCCUGUAGUC